ACAGGAAUUAGCCGAGAGGACGGUCUCCCUCCACGGAGACCUCCCCCGCCCCCCAAACGCAGCUCGCUGUUUGUUGCUCUUGAGCCGUUGAUGAGUGCGGAUGCUGUAGUCGUGGCCACCCAGAUCUUUUAAACAAGUAUUUGUCUUGUUUUGAGCCGUUCAUCGCCUCCAAUAGAUUCGGCCAUGUUUGCGGAGAUGAGUUGGCUGUCAGAGCUCUCUCAUGUUCAUGCUGUGAAGCGUACACACCUGCAAUGAGAAGACGGUGAAAGGAAUGUGUCUAUAAGUAGAUGUGGAGAAAACCUGUUUUCCUCAUGUUGGCCGUGGAAGUCAGCACAUGGAUCAAUGCAACUUUGAGCUCAGCCUCAGACUGUUAUUAUUAACAAUGCAGCGAAAGGAGCUCCGCUGAUAGACUUCGACUGAGUCGCUUAUCUGUAAAAUGCAGCUCUUUUACCCAACAGUGACGUGCUCAUUAACAAAAUGUGCCGCAAUCCCAAACAUUCCCAUGACUAAUCCCGGCUCUCUCCCAUCUGGUUUCUAGAUCACGGCCGAAUGGGGAGUGUCACGGUUGGUACAUCAGACCUGUCAGCGGAGGGACACGCGGGCUGCCCCUCCCCCACGCCGCCGCCGUGGUGGUGGUGGUGGUACACCUGACACAACUGAUGGGGUCACGUCGACCAGUAAAGCAGCCCACCGACAGGAGGAGGCACAGACGCUGCCGCGCCGUGACGUGCAGAUGCGGAGGCUUUAUCGAAACCGGCUUGUUGUUUUUUCGCACCUCAGCCUCCGUCGAGUGAUGGAGCUCGGCUUGUGUGAGGCCGCUUGAUGGAAAAAGUGAGAGCGAAGCGACGUGUCCAAGGAUCUGGAUGGCGAUUACUCACAAAGCUGCUCCGAACGCUGCCAAACACUUCAGGUUGUUUUUUUUUUUUUUUCUCCCUGUGACUCAUUUGGUAACAGAGCUUCCUCCUUCCCAGCGGUGGUCAUGGGAAGAGGCUCCAAGCAGGCUGUUAGUCAGAAGAAAAGCACUGAGCUCUGGGCAACAAUCGACACCUUGUAACAGGCACCGCCAAGCUUUUAUUUUCGAGCUAAAACUGGAAGCCCACAAACCAGUGACAACCUCCUGUGGUUCAGAUAUGGAUCUGCAGAGGAGAGGAGCCUGACAGCAACUGUUCUAACAGUCUGCUAAUGUUAUAGUGAAAGGAAUCGGUGCACAAGAAAUAAAAUCGCUAAGUCUGAAAUCCGUUUUUUUCAGUCAGAAUCCUCCUACAGGUGUCGUCGACUUCCUGUUUUCAAGAAGGUUAAGCUGCUGUGGUCUCAGCAUGUGAGUUGUGUUCACUUAUGCAGUUUAUUUUACGCCAACUAACUAAAACCCAAGUGAUAAAUGAUGUGCCGCCGCAGAAACAGUAGACCCCUGUUCUUUUUUUUCGGACUCCCCUGAUUGCUGAAGUUUUUCUGCUUUCACAUCAUCUAUUACCAAAUUAUUAGGGUGCUUUGGAGGCUGGAGGACACCAGCACUACCUUUACAGCAAGCAUAAAUCACCGGGCUAAUAAAUUGAACGCUAAAUGACUUCUUGCCCUCCACAUAUAUCAUGGAGCCAAACCAAAUGAAGCCUUAUAUACCCCAGAGAACUGAGGAAUGCUUCUGUUCAUAACAGUGAUUUGUGGAUGGAUCCCUUGCUGCUGCUUUCGGGAGUCACGGCAUGAGACGCACUCUCCUCCAGCAUCGUCGGGUGAAAAAGGACAGUUUAGGAAAUUCUGAAAAUCUGUAAGAAAUGUAAACGUUUUGAUGGUGAUGUGCGGUCGGACGUGCUCUUUAUGUUUAAUUAAGAUGUUUCCUUUGUGUUCAGAAAUCCCACAGUUCAUCUUCCUUCAUCAGACAAAGGACGUGUUUGAUGUUGUUAUUUAUUUAUGUAUGGAACACUUUAAUAAGGCAUCAGUGUGAGCAGCUGUGGAUGAGCAGAAGCCAAACCAACACCAGGACACUGGCGCCAUCCACUGGCUCCAACGCACCAGGCUCCUGCAGGCGGAGUGAGACUGCUUUAUUACGUGCCACACAUACAGGAUCAUGUUAAUGGUGAAGGGGUAUAAUAUAAACGCCACAUUUUAUCCUCCAUGCUGCCAGCGUCUCCUCGUUCCCACCUGAGGAAGCAGCUGAGAUGAGCUUCGCCUGUGACACGUGUAUUUUCCUCACACCCUCAAAUAUUCACUGACAUGGACGCAGAGCUGCUGCCAAACCUGCAGCGGCGGCGGCGCCUGAAGGUGUUAAUGUGCCGACGUGUCAGGACGAACAGCAGCGCCUCGUGUUCGUUGGCAGGGAGACGCGCCGCUCCUCUCCGUUUUGACCAGGUUUCAACCGAGACGACUCUGUGCGGCGUUCGCGAAGGCAGAGAUGCGUCACUUGGCCCUCGGACGCCUGAAAGCCAUGAGUCACACUUCAGCCUACGCGCUGAGUGAAUGGAUGAGACGAUGACGGCGGCAGAGGUCAAAGCAGCGUUAGAAUUAUUCACAAUGGACGCACUGAGGGUAAAGAAGAGAUGAAUUUCACCACCAGCAUCAAAACAAGUGGUUGAAGCAAGCAACAACCUUCUUACACACAAGCUGAGGACAGUUAUGCAACCAAACAUUCCUCCUUUUGAUGUGACUGCCCACAUUUUCACUGAAAAGCAGGGGGCGACAUAAUUACUUUACUUCUUCACGCGCUUCAGUGCGUCCUUAAAUGCAUCUACAACGCACCUCUGCAAACAUGCUCCGUCCCAUUAUGUGCAUCUGUGUUUUAUUAACAGUAAUAUUUCCUGUGACGCUCUCACACUUAUGCAUUUUGUUAAUGUCCAAAUCAAUUUAUUAUAAAAGCCCCAAUUAACUGUCUGUAAUCAACAACAGUCAGAAGGUGGAAUAUUUUCACAUUUAGAAACAAAACACUGCUUUUUUAUAUCUGGCACAGUCUGUCAGCUGCUAUAAACAGCUCCCCAAACAAA